rnacentral:antisense_RNA from 1 species
CACCGCCGCGAGCUCGGAAUGUCUGGCCCCGAGUGCUUCAGGGUCCGAGAACCUGCAGAAGUUCACACUUAAAUCCUACACGAGAGUCGUAUUUAUGAUGCAGAACUCGGUGCAGAACCCGAUGGAGUGCCCAAGGCGCUUGAGCCGUUCCUAGAAGGGGAAGGAGAGCCGCGGGCGGCACCGGGGCAGGGGACGGAAUUGGGAAGCUUGGGAGCAGGAAGAAGGCCAGAGCUACUUAGGGCCAGGCACGGUGGCUCACGCUUGUAAUCCGAGCACUUUGGGAGGCCGAGGCGGGCAGAUCACGAAGUCAGAAGAUCGAGACCAUCCUGGCUAACACGGGACCCAAGACUGGAAUGGGAAGAGCAUGAAAUUGAGCUGUCUAUCCCCCUGGAUCUCUCAUUGCCACCUGCCCAUAGGUUGGCUGCACCCCUCCACCAAAGAAAGGCCAUGACUCCUUCCUGGCAGCCCUGUCUUACAGCUACUCUCUGGUGAUCUGGGAACCACUCCCUCCCUUACCCCUUGAUGCCUAGGGCUAGUGCCAGCACCUUGUUGUUGUUAGCCUCAGAGGCACUUGCACUGUUCCUUGAUAGUUUUCCCAAAUCUUGCCCUCAUCUUUGUAAAUACUGUUUGCCGUUUAUUACACUGUCAUCAUAUUACCCAA